CCUCCCUGGGCGCGGUCCUGCGUGGCUCAGCACACUGCGCUGCUGCUGAACGCCCAGGGGAAACUGAGGCGGCUCCCUGACGGGGCCCCGCGACCGGGGAGCCCAGACUGUGAUGGGAGCCCCAGAACGGCCGCGGGGCCGCGGGUCACGGCCUGCUCCUCCGCGCGAAGGGCCCCUCGCUGACCAGGACCGGAGGGGCCCCGGGGUCCCCCGCGCCCGGACCCUUCCAGAGCUCCCGCCCCUCUCCCUGCCCGUGCCUGGGCCACAGUCUGUCUUGAAUUCUAAAGUCAGGCAGUGACCCCCGCUGGUGACUGGUUCCUCCCCCUGCCCCUUGGUGACCUUGGCCAGACUUUGCCUCUCAGAGCCUCAGUAUCCCCACCUGUAAACUCGGACUGCUGGUGGGCCCUUCUCGUGUUGCAGGGAAGAAGCGGGGCGUGUCAGCACCUGCUGAGGACUUAGGUGAGAAUUGGUGUCCUGUUACGACUGAGGAAACCAAGAGGUGGAGUAACUCCUCCAGCUAGGGCGACCAACCAUCCUGGUUUGCCUUGGACUGAGGGGUUUCCUGGGACACAGUACCCUCAUUGGGAAAACUGGGAGUCACGCUACCUCCAGGACACACACCUCACAAGAAAGAAGGAGAGUGGGGGAAGGACAGAGAGAAUCUUAAGCAGAUGCCAAGCCAAGCAUGGAGCCUGACAUGGGGCUUGAUCCCAUAACCCUCAGAUCACAGCCCUACCUGAAAUCGAGUCGGUCACCCCAAUUGACUGAACCACCCAGGCACUCCCAUUCAUGUAUCUUCUUUGUGAAGUGUCUGUUCAGAUCUUUUGCCCAGUUUUGUAUUGUGUUGUUUGUUCUCUUAUAAUUGAGGGGUGCUUUGUUUUGUUUUCUUGAUGUAAUUGACCUAUAACAUUAGUUUCAAGUGCAUGACAUAAUGAUUUGAUAUUUGUGUAUAUUGCAAAAUGAUAUAAUUGAGUUUUGAAAGUUCUUUAUAGGUUCUGUAUAAAACGCUUUUAUCGGGGAACCCCGGGUGGCGCAGCGGUUUAGCGCCUGCCUUUGGCCCAGGGCGCGAUUCUGGAGACCCGGGAUCGAGUCCCACAUCGGGCUCCAGGUGCAUGGAGCCUGCUUCUCCCUCUGCAUGUGUCUCUGCCUCUCUCUCUCUGUGACUAUCAUAAAUAAAUAAAAAUUAAAAAAAAAACGCUUUUAUCAGAGGCAUAUAAUUUGCAAAUAUUUUCUCCCAGUUUCUCCCAGUGGCUUGUCUUUUUAUUCUCUUCUUACCAGUGUCUAAGGGUACUUUUAAAAAAAAUAUUUUAUUAUUUUCUUUUAU